GAUGAACGCUGGCGGCGUGCUUAACACAUGCAAGUCGAACGUGAGAAUAGCAAUAUUUGAAAGUGGCAAACGGGUGAGUAACACGUGGGAACCUGCCUCGAAGUGGGGGAUAACGAUUGGAAACGGUCGCUAAUACCGCACGGUUCUGCUCUGAUGGGAAUGGAGCAGAUAAAGAUUUAUCGCUUUGAGAGGGGCCCGCGGCCGAUUAGGCUAGUUGGUAAGGUAAAGGCUUACCAAGGCGAUUAUCGGUAGCUGGUCUGAGAGGACGAUCAGCCACACGGGAACUGAGACACGGUCCCGACUCCUACGGGGGGCAGCAGUGAGGAAUAUUGGGCAAUGGGCGAAAGCCUGACCCAGCAACGCCGCGUGGAGGAUGAAGGCUUUAGGGUUGUAAACUCCUUUUGUGGGGAAAAGAUGGAUGGUACCCCAAGAAUAAGUCCGGCUAACUACGUGCCAGCAGCCGCGGUAAGACGUAUGUGU
rnacentral:rRNA from 1 species